rnacentral:rRNA from 1 species
CAGUCGCCGCGGUAAUACGUAGGGUGCAAGCGUUAAUCGGAAUUACUGGGCGUAAAGCGUGCGCAGGCGGUUUUGUAAGACAGAGGUGAAAUCCCCGGGCUCAACCUGGGAACUGCCUUUGUGACUGCAAGGCUAGAGUACGGCAGAGGGGGAUGGAAUUCCGCGUGUAGCAGUGAAAUGCGUAGAUAUGCGGAGGAACACCGAUGGCGAAGGCAAUCACCUGGGCCUGUACUGACGCUCAUGCACGAAAGCGUGGGGAGCAAACAGGAUUAGAUACCCGAGUAGUCCCUGUCUCUUAUAC